rnacentral:lncRNA from 1 species
GCAAGAGAUGAAGACAUUGAGAGAUAGUGCUGGAUGUGGCUCGCAUGAGGAGUACUUACGUAGCAUUAUGAAGCCGUGGGUUUAAUACUCAGAGCUACCUGAACCAGGAUGGGGUGGCCAGCUCUGCCAAGAGAGAUGCUUGGAAGUGAGUAUUCUGCUAGCAGCCUUCAGUUGAAGAUGUAGAACAUUCAGCUCCUCCUGUGCCAUGCCUACCUGGACAACGUCAUGCUCCUGCCUUGAUGAUAAUGGACUGAACCUCUGAACCUAUGACGCUAGUUCAUGCUAAGUUGACAAAACUCUACCUUGGUGAAUGUUGGUCUGUGCUCCCAUUGUUUUGGGUAGUGAUGGAAGAGGCUGCUGUCUGAAACACCUUAGGGACUGUCCUUCAGAAGGGGUAAUCGUCUCAUCAAGCUGUCCAGAAAGCAAAGUCCAUAUCCUAGCCUUCAGAUGAACACCUAGAAUUCUCCUGCACCAUGCCUGCCUGGAUGUUGCCAUGUUCCUGCUUUGAUGAUAAUGAACCGCUGAACCUAACUUUACAUACUUCUAGCCUAUCUUCCCAGGCUGUAUGACUUUAAUAACCGUCUACAUACAGAAGAAAAGAAAAAGGGUCAUGUUAAGAACCAAUUAUGGAAGUG